UUACAGAUUUCUUUGGAAGCUGGUCUUGUUGCUGUUGUUAUUGGUUUUGUUACUGGUGUUGACGACUUUGCGGUUGUGAUUUGUGAUGAUGUUGUUGAUGUUGUGACUGGUGUUGAUGUUGUGCAGGUUGUUGUCAUUGGUGAUUCUGUUUCUAGUGGACUGGUUGAGGCUGCUUGUGUAGUUG
rnacentral:lncRNA from 1 species